GUCACUGCGCAGCUAGCUGGCAGUCGUACAGGUAACCAAGCUUGCUUAGCGGAUUAGUGGCGAACGGGUGAGUAACACGUGAGUAACCUGCCCUUGACUCUGGGAUAAGCGUUGGAAACGACGUCUAAUACCGGAUAUGACCUUCGGAGGCAUCUCCUGGGGGUGGAAAGAUUUUUUGGUCAAGGAUGGACUCGCGGCCUAUCAGGUUGUUGGUGAGGUAAUGGCUCACCAAGCCUACGACGGGUAGCCGGCCUGAGAGGGUGACCGGCCACACUGGGACUGAGACACGGCCCAGACUCCUACGGGAGGCAGCAGUGGGGAAUAUUGCACAAUGGGCGAAAGCCUGAUGCAGCAACGCCGCGUGAGGGAUGACGGCCUUCGGGUUGUAAACCUCUUUUAGUAAGGAAGAAGAACUUCGGUUUGACGGUACUUGCAGAAAAAGCACCGGCUAACUACGUGCCAGCAGCCGCGGUAAUACGUAGGGUGCAAGCGUUGUCCGGAAUUAUUGGGCGUAAAGAGCUCGUAGGCGGUUUGUCGCGUCUGCUGUGAAAACUGGAGGCUCAACCUCCAGCCUGCAGUGGGUACGGGCAGACUAGAGUGCGGUAGGGGAGAUUGGAAUUCCUGGUGUAGCGGUGGAAUGCGCAGAUAUCAGGAGGAACACCGAUGGCGAAGGCAGAUCUCUGGCCGUAACUGACGCUGAGGAGCGAAAGCAUGGGGAGCGAACAGGAUUAUAUACCCUGGUAGUCCAUGCCGUAACGUUGGCACUACAUGUAGGGGCCAUUCACGGUUUCUGUGUCGCAGCUAACGCAUUAAGUUCCCACCUGGGGAUACCGCCGCACUAAACUCAAGGAUUGACGGGGCCC
rnacentral:rRNA from 1 species